rnacentral:rRNA from 1 species
GUGGGGAAUUUUGGACAAUGGGGGCAACCCUGAUCCAGCAAUGCCGCGUGCAGGAAGAAGGCCUUCGGGUUGUAAACUGCUUUUGUACGGAACGAAACGGUCCUGGUUAAUACCUGGGGCUAAUGACGGUACCGUAAGAAUAAGCACCGGCUAACUACGUGCCAGCAGCCGCGGUAAUACGUAGGGUGCAAGCGUUAAUCGGAAUUACUGGGCGUAAAGCGUGCGCAGGCGGUUUUGUAAGACAGGCGUGAAAUCCCCGGGCUCAACCUGGGAAUGGCGCUUGUGACUGCAAGGCUGGAGUGCGGCAGAGGGGGAUGGAAUUCCGCGUGUAGCAGUGAAAUGCGUAGAUAUGCGGAGGAACACCGAUGGCGAAGGCAAUCCCCUGGGCCUGCACUGACGCUCAUGCACGAAAGCGUGGGGAGCAAACAGGAUUAGAUACCCUUGUAGUCC